AGUUAUAAAUGUAGGUACUAUGUAUAAGUGUGUAUGACUUACCUCCACGGCCUGUACAGUGAGCUCUGGCGCCAGCGUGAACCAAAUAUCUUCCAGCACUUUGAAAUCGUGCUGCACGAACAUGCUUGGAGACAGUACAAGUUUGUGGUCCGAAAAAUAGGUUUUUAAACCAAUAGACGGACAGUCAGACGGAUUUGAUCAAGUAUGAACCUUCUACAAAGAUUUGGGCAACGGAAUCCACCGCCAGACGCUUCAGAUCCGUCGUGUUGCAGAGGAACGCCUUCAGCGAGCUGGUCAUCAUAUCACAGCUGAGAAUCUCCAGACCCUCGAGCUGCUGAAAGCGCACCUGAGACGCAUACGACAGCGAUUCAACCACAUAACAAUCAAGAUCGAUGAGCGAGGGACAAAGACGCGCCAGCUUGCCCAGAUCCAGAUUUCCGCUGCCCUUGAUCAACGUCAGAUGCCGGAGUUUUUGACCCAUGGGACGCUCGAGCAGGGAAAUCAACUCGGCUACAACAAAUUUGCAGAUCUUAAGCUUACGCAGCUGCCGUGUUUGUAAGGCACGCAGGCAACCGAGCUUCGGAGAAUCCAAAUAGAGAGUUUCCAAUUGCGGACAAGUCUGGAGCAGCACCUGCAAAGUCGGUUCAUCUGUAGCCGUGUCAUGUGCAUACUUCAAUCGACACUUGAAGUUGCUGUCAAUGUUAUCGUAGAUGAAUUUCAAUGCAGCGCCCACAAAGGAGUAUGUGGAAAGUGUCUCCACACGAGGACAAUGCUCUAGAAUUAAGGCGAUGUCGGAGUAGCAAAUGUUCUCCUCACCCGGCAUGCCCACAUCGACCACCGUUAAGGAUUGAGCGCACAGCCCCUUGGCCAACUGAUCAAUGCCAAUUUCAGUGAUGUCUGUUUCACCGGAAAUAUCCAGAAUCUGCAAACGAUUGCAGUUCAAGGCAAUCUCUUCCAGCAGCUGAUCGUUGGCUAUAUACGGCACAUAGAGCUUGACCAGCUGCUUGCAACGUCGCACAAUCUCAUACAUAUAAUGCAUGUGAUCCUCCUUCACCCAAAUCCCUUUCAGAUUGAGCACACGCAGUCCAGCGCCUUGGGCGGCAAUCACCUGCAAGAUCUUCUCAUAGUAGCUGGGCGGAAAGACUUCGGUGACGAGGAAAUGGACGCCACAAUUGAGCAACAUUUGCAGGCAUGUGAAACGCAUGUUGGCCUCCAGAUAAUCCGAACUCAAGAUGACACGAAGUAAAUCCUGAUAGAUGUUAGAAGUGGCGCCCGAUUGAGCGAGAUAUUCAUUCAGUUCGACCAUCAGAAUGUUGAUGUCCAGCUGCACAUCGGGAGCGUAUUGCACAUAGCUUAUGGUGGAGACUAAGAGAUUGGCCAGCUCCGCGAGAGAACUGUCGCUGAGGCUGCGCACGCUACACUUCUUCGACAUGGUAAUAAAAUAAACAAACUGCGACGCAGUUGCUCUCCGAAAUAGUUGAUCGCUCUCUCCUUGUCUCUCUGUUGUUGUAAUGCUGCUCUUGGCUAAUACAGUUCUUGGCCAACUCACGUUACAUCACUUGUGCUCUGCUUGGCAAUUUAGUUUAACUUGCUUUUUAGUAGUUUGCUUCUAAAUCUGUAUUUUAACUACUGUUAACUGUAAACUUUUCGAUUUGCGUUUGUUUUUCCACGAAAUAGCGUUACGAAAAUAGAUUUUCUAUAUAGUUCUAUAUAUAGCCAAGAGGCGAAACGAACGCGAUCUGCAUGUUUUGCCAGCGCGCUGCAAACUGAGCACUAUUUCGCUUGCCCUGGGACGCCAAACACAAUGUUUUGUUUGUGGCCCAAAAAAUCGGUGGCUAUCAACGACUUUGCUAAGCGCUACAAUGACUUAGAUACAUUUUUAAAUAUUUGACAAUUAAAAUAAAAUAAUUUAUAAACGCAAUGUAAAAUUCUUUGUGGUGAAAUUAUAGCUCCAACUUAUUAAAAAUAUAAUUUUAAAUUAGUCCGAGAACAGCGUUUAGUUUAGAUACGAAACGUAGCAUGUAUUUCAACCAGUGGUUAUCGUAGAUACACACUAGUUGUAUCAGGCUACUGACAUAUAAAUUGUAAUACUAAUAGAGAGCGAAAUUGGAAUGUCCUUAAAGGAUUUAGGGUUGCAGAUAACUGGGCAACUUCAUGCGCAUAAACAGCCAGGUGGUAAAGAAGCUAACCAAUAUGAAAAUGAAGCCCAUGGCCGUGAGCAGCAGUCGGUUGAGAUUCGUUUUGCCGGGCGUGUGUGUUUGAUCCAUAAUGAUGAAACCCAGGCCACCGACAGUGAAGAGGAAGCUGCUGGCCAAGCCCUCCAUGAUGUAUUGCCCAUUUACGCGGUAUGGCAUAAAGGCCACAGGACGGGAAUGACCAUGCUCGUCGACGGUGGCGCCCACGCUGGGUGGCUCCACUAUCACAUCAUAGAUAAUGCCUGGCAAAGAAAGCAAAUUAUAUAUCUAUGUCUAUUUACUAUAACAAUUCUACUUGCCGCCUGUGACCAGAAAGUAGGAGAGCAACACAGCGGAAAAUACUGCCAUGGGCGAGGGCAUUGGCAGGGCAAAGCGACGCACUUUGAUGUUGGGCGGCACGAGUAUGUGAAAUGGCAGGUUGUAGAGUGUUUCCAACAUU